rnacentral:rRNA from 1 species
UACGUACGAGGCGAGCGUUAUCCGGAAUUACUGGGCGUAAAGCGCGCGCAGGUGGCUAGUUAAGUGAGACGUGAAAUCUCCCGGCCUAACUGGGAGGGGUCGUUUCAAACUGGGUAGCUUGAGGACUGCAGAGGUGGGUGGAAUUCCUGGUGUAGUGGUGAAAUGCGUAGAGAUCAGGAGGAACACCGGUGGCGAAGGCGGCCCACUGGGCAGUCACUGACGCUGAGGCGCGAAAGCUCGGGGAGCGAACGGG